ensembl:snRNA U6 U6 spliceosomal RNA
GUGCUCACUUUGGCAGCAAAUACACCAAAACUGGAAUGAUAUGGAGAAGAUCACUAGGAUCCUUGUGCAAUGAUGAUAUGCACAUUUUUGAAACGUUCCAUAAAAAU